rnacentral:rRNA from 1 species
UGAGCAACUUGCCCCGGACUCUGGGAUAACAGUUGGAAACAGCUGCUAAUACCGGAUACGAGCUGCGAAGGCAUCUUCAGCAGCUGGAAAGAACUUCGGUCUGGGAUGGGCUCGCGGCCUAUCAGCUAGUUGGUGAGGUAACGGCUCACCAAGGCGUCGACGGGUAGCCGGCCUGAGAGGGUGACCGGCCACACUGGGACUGAGACACGGCCAGCUCCGUAGGAGG